AGAGUUUGAUCAUGGCUCAGAUUGAACGCUGGCGGCAGGCCUAACACAUGCAAGUCGAGCGGUAGCACAGAGAGCUUGCUCUCGGGUGACGAGCGGCGGACGGGUGAGUAAUGUCUGGGAAACUGCCUGAUGGAGGGGGAUAACUACUGGAAACGGUAGCUAAUACCGCAUAAUGUCGCAAGACCAAAGUGGGGGACCUUCGGGCCUCAUGCCAUCAGAUGUGCCCAGAUGGGAUUAGCUAGUAGGUGGGGUAACGGCUCACCUAGGCGACGAUCCCUAGCUGGUCUGAGAGGAUGACCAGCCACACUGGAACUGAGACACGGUCCAGACUCCUACGGGAGGCAGCAGUGGGGAAUAUUGCACAAUGGGCGCAAGCCUGAUGCAGCCAUGCCGCGUGUGUGAAGAAGGCCUUCGGGUUGUAAAGCACUUUCAGCGGGGAGGAAGGCGGUAAGGUUAAUAACCUUGUCGAUUGACGUUACCCGCAGAAGAAGCACCGGCUAACUCCGUGCCAGCAGCCGCGGUAAUACGGAGGGUGCAAGCGUUAAUCGGAAUUACUGGGCGUAAAGCGCACGCAGGCGGUCUGUCAAGUCGGAUGUGAAAUCCCCGGGCUCAACCUGGGAACUGCAUUCGAAACUGGCAGGCUAGAGUCUUGUAGAGGGGGGUAGAAUUCCAGGUGUAGCGGUGAAAUGCGUAGAGAUCUGGAGGAAUACCGGUGGCGAAGGCGGCCCCCUGGACAAAGACUGACGCUCAGGUGCGAAAGCGUGGGGAGCAAACAGGAUUAGAUACCCUGGUAGUCCACGCCGUAAACGAUGUCGAUUUGGAGGUUGUGCCCUUGAGGCGUGGCUUCCGGAGCUAACGCGUUAAAUCGACCGCCUGGGGAGUACGGCCGCAAGGUUAAAACUCAAAUGAAUUGACGGGGGCCCGCACAAGCGGUGGAGCAUGUGGUUUAAUUCGAUGCAACGCGAAGAACCUUACCUGGUCUUGACAUCCACAGAACUUUCCAGAGAUGGAUUGGUGCCUUCGGGAACUGUGAGACAGGUGCUGCAUGGCUGUCGUCAGCUCGUGUUGUGAAAUGUUGGGUUAAGUCCCGCAACGAGCGCAACCCUUAUCCUUUGUUGCCAGCGGUCCGGCCGGGAACUCAAAGGAGACUGCCAGUGAUAAACUGGAGGAAGGUGGGGAUGACGUCAAGUCAUCAUGGCCCUUACGACCAGGGCUACACACGUGCUACAAUGGCAUAUACAAAGAGAAGCGACCUCGCGAGAGCAAGCGGACCUCAUAAAGUAUGUCGUAGUCCGGAUUGGAGUCUGCAACUCGACUCCAUGAAGUCGGAAUCGCUAGUAAUCGUAGAUCAGAAUGCUACGGUGAAUACGUUCCCGGGCCUUGUACACACCGCCCGUCACACCAUGGGAGUGGGUUGCAAAAGAAGUAGGUAGCUUAACCUUCGGGAGGGCGCUUACCACUUUGUGAUUCAUGACUGGGGUGAAGUCGUAACAAGGUAACCGUAGGGGAACCUGCGGUUGGAUCACCU
rnacentral:rRNA from 1 species